rnacentral:misc_RNA from 1 species
AAAGUCGUAACAAGGUUUCCGUAGGUGAACCUGCGGAAGGAUCAUUAUGAAUUUGAUCAAGUAGCUUUUUAUAAGUUGCUUUCAUUUUCUGUGAACUGUUGACGUUUUUAAAAGCGCAAGCUUUUUUAAGCAUCAUACUUGUAUUCUUGAUUUCUAUUCCAAUCUAUGUUUGAUUGAAUCUCUUCGCAAGGAGAGAAUCGAUUGAAUGUUUAUAAACCAAGACAACUUUCAGCAAUGGAUCUCUUGGCUCUU